UACGUAGGGUGCAAGCGUUGUCCGGAAUUAUUGGGCGUAAAGAGCUCGUAGGCGGUUUGUCGCGUCGGAUGUGAAAACCUGGGGCUUAACUCCGGGCCUGCAUUCGAUACGGGCAGACUAGAGUUCGGUAGGGGAGACUGGAAUUCCUGGUGUAGCGGUGAAAUGCGCAGAUAUCAGGAGGAACACCGGUGGCGAAGGCGGGUCUCUGGGCCGAUACUGACGCUGAGGCGCGACAGCGUGGGGAGCAAACAGG
rnacentral:rRNA from 1 species